rnacentral:rRNA from 1 species
GAAAGGCCCUGCUUGCAGGGUACUCGAGUGGCGAACGGGUGAGUAACACGUGGGUGAUCUGCCCUGCACUUCGGGAUAAGCCUGGGAAACUCGGGUCUAAUACCGGAUAGGAGCCAUUUUUAGUGUGAUGGUUGGAAAGUUUUUUCGGUGUAGGAUGAGCUCGCGGCCUAUCAGCUUGUUGGUGGGGUAAUGGCCUACCAAGGCGGCGACGGGUAGCCGGCCUGAGAGGGUGGACGGCCACAUUGGGACUGAGAUACGGCCCAGACUCCUACGGGAGGCAGCAGUGGGGAAUAUUGCACAAUGGGCGCAAGCCUGAUGCAGCGACGCCGCGUGGGGGAUGACGGCCUUCGGGUUGUAAACUCCCUUCGCUAGGGACGAAGCUUUUUGUGACGGUACCUAGAUAAGAAGCACCGGCUAACUACGUGCCAGCAGCCGCGGUAAUACGUAGGGUGCGAGCGUUGUCCGGAAUUACUGGGCGUAAAGGGCUCGUAGGUGGUUUGUCGCGUCGUCUGUGAAAUUCCGGGGCUUAACUCCGGGCGUGCAGGCGAUACGGGCAUAACUUGAGUACUGUAGGGGUAACUGGAAUUCCUGGUGUAGCGGUGAAAUGCGCAGAUAUCAGGAGGAACACCGAUGGCGAAGGCAGGUUACUGGGCAGUUACUGACGCUGAGGAGCGAAAGCAUGGGUAGCGAACAGGAUUAGAUACCCUGGUAGUCCAUGCCGUAAACGGUGGGCGCUAGGUGUGAGGGUCUUUUCACGACUUUCGUGCCGUAGCUAACGCAUUAAGCGCCCCGCCUGGGGAUACGCCGCAAG